rnacentral:rRNA from 1 species
UACGGAGGGUGCAAGCGUUACUCGGAAUCACUGGGCGUAAAGCGCGCGCAGGCGGCUAGAUAAGUUGGAAGUGAAAUCCUAUGGCUCAACCAUAGAACUGCUUCCAAAACUGUUUAGCUAGAGUCUGGGAGGGGAAGAUGGAAUUAGUAGUGUAGGGGUAAAAUCCGUAGAGAUUACUAGGAAUACCAAAAGCGAAGGCGAUCUUCUGGAACAGUACUGACGCUGAGGCGCGAAAGCGUGGGGAGCAAACAGGAUUAGAUACCCUGGUAGUCCACGCCCUAAACGAUGAAUGUUAGUCGUCGGGACUCUAGUAGUUUCGGUGAUGCAGUUAACACAUUAAACAUUCCGCCUGGGGAGUACGGUCGCAAGAUUAAAACUCAAAGGAAUAGACGGGGACCCGCACAAGUGGUGGAGCAUGUGGUUUAAUUCGAAGAUACGCGAAGAACCUUACCUAGCCUUGACAUAUUUUAGAACUCCGCAGAGAUGUAGAGGUGCCUUCGGGAGCUAAUAUACAGGUGCUGCACGGCUGUCGUCAGCUCGUGUCGUGAGAUGUUGGGUUAAGUCCCGCAACGAGCGCAACCCUCGUUCUUAGUUACUAACGGUUCGGCCGAGGACUCUAAGAAGACUGCCUUCGUAAGGAGGAGGAAGGUGAGGACGACGUCAAGUCAUCAUGGCCCUUACGGCUAGGGCAACACACGUGCUACAAUGGUUAGGACAAUGAGACGCAAUACCGCGAGGUGGAGCAAAUCUAUAAACCUAAUCUCAGUUCGGAUUGUAGUCUGCAACUCGACUACAUGAAGCUGGAAUCACUAGUAAUCGUAGAUCAGCUAUGCUACGGUGAAUACGUUCCCGGGUCUUG